UACGGAGGGAGCUAGCGUUGUUCGGAAUUACUGGGCGUAAAGCGCACGUAGGCGGCUAUUCAAGUCGGGGGGUGAAAGCCCGGGGCUCAACCCCGGAACAGCCCUCGAAACUAGAUAGCUAGAAUCUUGGAGAGGCGAGUGGAAUUCCGAGUGUAGAGGUGAAAAUUCGUAGAUAUUCGGAAGAACACCAGUGGCGAAGGCGACUCGCUGGACAAGUAUUGACGCUGAGGUGCGAAAGCGUGGGGAGCAAACAGG
rnacentral:rRNA from 1 species